UUUAUGGAGAGUUUGAUCCUGGCUCAGGAUGAACGCUGGCGGCGUGCCUAAUACAUGCAAGUCGAGCGAACAGAUAAGGAGCUUGCUCCUUUGACGUUAGCGGCGGACGGGUGAGUAACACGUGGGUAACCUACCUAUAAGACUGGGAUAACUUCGGGAAACCGGAGCUAAUACCGGAUAAUAUUUCGAACCGCAUGGUUCGAUAGUGAAAGAUGGUUUUGCUAUCACUUAUAGAUGGACCCGCGCCGUAUUAGCUAGUUGGUAAGGUGAUGGCUUACCAAGGCGACGAUACGUAGCCGACCUGAGAGGGUGAUCGGCCACACUGGAACUGAGACACGGUCCAGACUCCUACGGGAGGCAGCAGUAGGGAAUCUUCCGCAAUGGGCGAAAGCCUGACGGAGCAACGCCGCGUGAGUGAUGAAGGUCUUCGGAUCGUAAAACUCUGUUAUUAGGGAAGAACAUACGUGUAAGUAACUGUGCACGUCUUGACGGUACCUAAUCAGAAAGCCACGGCUAACUACGUGCCAGCAGCCGCGGUAAUACGUAGGUGGCAAGCGUUAUCCGGAAUUAUUGGGCGUAAAGCGCGCGUAGGCGGUUUUUUAAGUCUGAUGUGAAAGCCCACGGCUCAACCGUGGAGGGUCAUUGGAAACUGGAAAACUUGAGUGCAGAAGAGGAAAGUGGAAUUCCAUGUGUAGCGGUGAAAUGCGCAGAGAUAUGGAGGAACACCAGUGGCGAAGGCGACUUUCUGGUCUGUAACUGACGCUGAUGUGCGAAAGCGUGGGGAUCAAACAGGAUUAGAUACCCUGGUAGUCCACGCCGUAAACGAUGAGUGCUAAGUGUUAGGGGGUUUCCGCCCCUUAGUGCUGCAGCUAACGCAUUAAGCACUCCGCCUGGGGAGUACGACCGCAAGGUUGAAACUCAAAGGAAUUGACGGGGACCCGCACAAGCGGUGGAGCAUGUGGUUUAAUUCGAAGCAACGCGAAGAACCUUACCAAAUCUUGACAUCCUUUGACAACUCUAGAGAUAGAGCUUUCCCCUUCGGGGGACAAAGUGACAGGUGGUGCAUGGUUGUCGUCAGCUCGUGUCGUGAGAUGUUGGGUUAAGUCCCGCAACGAGCGCAACCCUUAAGCUUAGUUGCCAUCAUUAAGUUGGGCACUCUAAGUUGACUGCCGGUGACAAACCGGAGGAAGGUGGGGAUGACGUCAAAUCAUCAUGCCCCUUAUGAUUUGGGCUACACACGUGCUACAAUGGACAAUACAAAGGGCAGCGAAACCGCGAGGUCAAGCAAAUCCCAUAAAGUUGUUCUCAGUUCGGAUUGUAGUCUGCAACUCGACUACAUGAAGCUGGAAUCGCUAGUAAUCGUAGAUCAGCAUGCUACGGUGAAUACGUUCCCGGGUCUUGUACACACCGCCCGUCACACCACGAGAGUUUGUAACACCCGAAGCCGGUGGAGUAACCAUUUGGAGCUAGCCGUCGAAGGUGGGACAAAUGAUUGGGGUGAAGUCGUAACAAGGUAGCCGUAUCGGAAGGUGCGGCUGGAUCACCUCCUUU
rnacentral:rRNA from 1 species